UUGAAUCCAAAUUAAGAGACAAAAGAAAUCUGCCUAUUCCUUAAGGUGCACAUUUAAGGCAACUGCAUCUAAAUCGAUUUGAUGUCAAAUCCUUCUUUUAAAACCAGAAUUUUCGUCCAUGUUUCUGAUCUGAGUGAAAUUUACAUUUUUCUUUUCUGAUUCUAUUUGUGGGGUUUUGAUACUUUCCUUUUUGGGUAGAUUUAUAUAGAUCCAUAUUUAAUUUGCUUUGAAGUGAAUUAAAUUCAAACUUUUAUUCAGGUUCGUUUUUUUUUUUAUUUGAAUUCUAAGUUUCUUUUUUUGGUUUAAGCUUGCUUUUGCUUCCUUGACAUUGCUUGAGUAUUGUUUGCUUGGGUCUAUACUCCAGGUGAUAUUUUUCUAGUAGCACAAAGCCUAGUUCGUGUGUUACUUUCCAAAUUUUCAGUG
rnacentral:lncRNA from 1 species